GUUUGCAAAUGAUGUUAAAAGUUACAUAUGCUUAACACUGAUUUAAUUCUGUGAGGAUAAAAUACUCCGCUUAUUAUCUGGUGCAACC